rnacentral:rRNA from 1 species
GAUGAACGCUGGCGGCGUGCCUAAUACAUGCAAGUCGAGCGAACAGACGGGGAGCUUGCUCCUCUGACGUUAGCGGCGGACGGGUGAGUAACACGUGGAUAACCUACCUAUAAGACUGGGAUAACUUCGGGAAACCGGAGCUAAUACCGGAUAAUAUAUUGAACCGCAUGGUUCAAUAGUGAAAGACGGUUUUGCUGUCACUUAUAGAUAGAUCCGCGCCGCAUUAGCUAGUUGGUAAGGUAACGGCUUACCAAGGCAACGAUGCGUAGCCGACCUGAGAGGGUGAUCGGCCACACUGGAACUGAGACACGGUCCAGACUCCUACGGGAGGCAGCAGUAGGGAAUCUUCCGCAAUGGGCGAAAGCCUGACGGAGCAACGCCGCGUGAGUGAUGAAGGUCUUCGGAUCGUAAAACUCUGUUAUUAGGGAAGAACAAAUGUGUAAGUAACUAUGCACGUCUUGACGGUACCUAAUCAGAAAGCCACGGCUAACUACGU